rnacentral:rRNA from 1 species
UACGUAGGGGGCAAGCGUUGUCCGGAAUCAUUGGGCGUAAAGAGCGUGUAGGCGGCCAGAAAAGUCCGCUGUGAAAACUCGAGGCUCAACUUCGAGCUGUCGGUGGAAACUUUCUGGCUAGAGUCCGGAAGAGGAGAAUGGAAUUCCUGGUGUAGCGGUGAAAUGCGCAGAUAUCAGGAGGAACACCAGUGGCGAAGGCGGCUCACUGGACUGGUAUUGACGCUGGAGGUGCGAAAGCGUGGGGAGCAAACAGG